rnacentral:lncRNA from 1 species
GCUGGGCGUUACCUACGUGGGUCCGAAGCUGUCGCCGACCUGCGCGGGGCGGAAGUCCCGCUGGACUGCCUCCUGGUAGGGAAGUCUCUCCGGCGUCAGGAAGCUGGAGAGCACAGCCACAGGGCAGCUGGCCCCAAAAAGCCUGCGUGGGACGGGCCGGUGGGCACAUGCUGGAGGCCGCCCCGUUUCCGCCUGGGGGCCAGCUGGCCGGUGGGGCCGCACUUUCCCUGGAUCCUCCGCCAAGAGGGCUGCCUGGCCGCUCCGCGGCACAGUCCAUUCCCUACCCCCUCCUCCCCGGCCCCUGCCCUGCCCGCGGCGGGCACUUUGUCCCGCGGCCCGGGUGGCUGCAGCUUAGGUUUCUCCCCGGAAGGAAAGCUUGAGGCGCACGGUUGCGGUCGGCCGGCUGCGGGGGACCAGGGGCCACACCUGCCGCGGAGGUUACAGUCGGUAAAGUAGAGCGGCGACACGAACUUCUCCACCCGCUCCAGCGUGGUGCGCCAGUGCUUCAAGGCCGGCGCAGCCGCCAUCGCCGGGCUCUCGCUCCUCUUUCCGGAAGGCCCCUGGCGCUACCGUUCCGCUCCACGGCAGGAAACCAAAGGUUCCGGCGUCCAGAGGGCGCCUCCCAGUCCCGGGCAGCUUUUCUUGGAACACCGGCGGCUCUCGGAAGCCCAGCUGCUGUCUGAACUUUGAGCCGAGUUGGAAGCUAGAAACUGUUUUUGAGGCUCUCCUAUGUUGUCCGAAAUAGUGGGCCGCAGGGAAAAUCUCAAAAUAAAAUGGGAAAUUUGACGAUUAGAACUCUCGAAAGUCUCAAGACAGAGACUUAGGCCAUUCGGCAAGACAGGCGGGAGCCUCAGCUGCUGCAGACCCAGCCUCAGAAGCAGCAACCGGGAGACCUCUGGCUCUAGCUGUCGGUGAACACGGAAAGUGGUGUUUGCUUAACGUGGAGCCAGACUACCCGGAAUAGGUGUUUUCAUACCGGACGGAGAUCAGGGUGUUAGUGAGCAGGGUGGUAGAGCUUUACGCCCAAGUUACUACGACUUACUCGAUUACACGCUUUACUGAAUGUAUAUUGCUAACUCUUGCACAUCACCAGAAACUCUGGAGUUUGAGGUGGCAGAACAGUCAUGGCAUUGACGAUCCCAAUGGAAAAAUGUAUUUCACCAUACAGGACUGUAGAGUCCCGGGAAGCCAUAAUACCAGAAACAGACCUCCAGUUUCAUUCUCAUCCCUAGUACUCCACUGACAGCUUUAUUUUUUUUCUCCUGGGGUUGCCAAGAGUCUUUGUCUAUAAAAUCAUUAGGAACAAAAAAAAAUACACAAGAUUAGCCCUGAUAUUUUAAUGGAAAUACUGACCAAGUUUACAACAUUUCAAAUGCAGAUCACACGGAAAGGUGACUAAGUACAGAAUAACAAAUGUGAUUUAAAACAAAGAUAACCUGCUGCUGCAUAUAAUACAGGUUGGGUUUAGAGCUUGGAGCUCAGAUGUCAGACAGCAGGAGGAAUAAAAAUGCUACUUGUGAAAACCCAGGCUGUAGGUAAAACUUACUCUUUUGUUGGUUGCACUGGUGGGUUGGGACUUUCUCCUGAACUGGCCUUGAAAUCCUAUCCUGACCUGCAGGCAAGUGCUCUGGACAAAACACUGCAGGGGCAGCAACAGCUGGGGCUGACCCUGAUCACACCCCACCAAUUUCCCCUAUGGUUCCAGGUCAACAUGACCUUUCUUGAGGGAACACGGGGAUAGGUGAAUUAUUUGAGAAAACCUCAAGAUCUUUCCCCUAAAUCAGUACACAUGACCACCGCCAAGUCAGACACUGCCCCAGCUUUGCCCUAAAAUCUCAUCCCACAAAGCUCUUUUUGGCACCCUACACUUUGGCUCACAGUCUCUUCUCCCCAGUACAAAAAAAGCCUAAAAUCAGGCCAGGGUGGCUCACACCUGUAAUCUCAGCACUUUGCGAGGCCGAGGUGGGAGGACAGCUUGAGGCCAGGAGUUUGAGACCAACCUGGGCAGCAUAGCAAGACCCUGUCUCUACAAAAAGUUAAAAAAUUAGCUGGGCGUGGUGGCAUGCAGCUACUCAGGAGGCCGAGGUGGGAGGACUGCUUGAGCCUGGGAGGUCAAGCCUGCAGUGAGCUAUGAUCGUGGCACUGCACUCCAGUGUGGGUCAUAAAGCGAGACACUGUCUUUAAACAAUAAAAGCCUAAAAUCAGA